GGGCCCGUAGCUCAACCGGCUAGAGCGCUCGGCUCAUAGGGAUUGAUCCUGAGACACCGGGCGGUUGAGGGUUCGAGCCCCUCCGGGCCCA
rnacentral:tRNA from 1 species